UACGUAGGCAGCAAGCGUUGUUCGGAGUUACUGGGCGUAAAGCGUGCGCAGGCGGUUCGGAAAGAGAGGUGUGAAAUCCCAGGGCUUAACCUUGGAACUGCACUUCUAACUACCGGGCUAGAGUACGUCAGAGGGGGGUAGAAUUCCACGUGUAGCAGUGAAAUGCGUAGAGAUGUGGAGGAAUACCGAUGGCGAAGGCAGCCCCCUGGGAUGAUACUGACGCUCAUGCACGAAAGCGUGGGGAGCAAACAGG
rnacentral:rRNA from 1 species